UACCCCGGUUUGGCUGUGUUAUGCGUAGGGGUGCCAUGCAUAGGGACUUAAAUUAAAUUAAGUGAAAUUUAAAUGUCCUGAGUUCAAGAUGUACUUGUCUCUUCGCAUCAGUAAGACAAUCAACAGAUUUGCAUAAUCUGCUUUAUAGCCUCUUAUAAAGAGCGAAUCAUGGGUAUGGUGUACGACAAUGUGGGCAUCUUGAAUGUUCUCGAAGAUGGUGACACGGUUUGUCGCAUAAAAAAGAAGGUGCAAUUAUGCCUUAGCUAUGAUCCAGCUGGGAUGAGUGCUAAAUUUUAUGCAGGACAUAAGAUCCAGCUGGAGUUCCCUAUCACAAAGACAACAGAGUGCUGCAAAGCUGGCAGGACCUCCUACAUUUUCUCUUUCACCAGUGAUGCCUUCAUGGUUGUGUUUCAUACCACGCAAGACUGCCAGCGAUUUCACAAGUUCAUGCAGGACUUCAAGUCCGGCCAGGCAGCGUCCGUGUUCUCAGAACGCACAGAGGAGGCAUCAGCCUCUCAGUAU